rnacentral:rRNA from 1 species
GAUGAGCCCGCGGCCUAUCAGCUGUUGGUGGGGAAAUGAGAACGGACACAAGGCGACGACGGGUAGCCGGCCUGAGAGGGCGAUCGGCCACACUGGGACUGAGACACGGCCCAGACUCCUUCUUUUUUGCAGCCCCCCCCCCACUAUUGGACAAUGGGCGAAAGCCUGAGGCAGCGACGCCGCGUGAGGGAUGACGGCCUUCGGGUUGUAAACCUCUUUCAGCAGGGAAGAACGAAAGUGACGGUCCUGCAGAAGAAGCGCCGGCUAACUACGUGCCAGCAGCCGCGGKAAUACGUAGGGCGCACGCGUUGUCCGGAAUUAUUGGGCGUAAAGAGCUCGUAGGCGGCUUGUCACGUCGGAUGUGAAAGCCCGGGGSUUWACCCCGGGUCUGCWUUCGAUACGGGCUAGCUAGAGUGUGGUAGGGGAGAUCGGAAUUCCUGGUGUAGCGGUGAAAUGCGCAGAUAUCAGGAGGAACACCGGUGGCGAAGGCGGAUCUCUGGGCCAUUACUGACGCUGAGGAGCGAAAGCGUGGGGAGCGAACAGGAUUAGAUACCCUGGUAGUCCACGCCGUAAACGUUGGGAACUAGGUGUUGGCGACAUUCCACGUCGUCGGUGCCGCAGCUAACGCAUUAAGUUCCCCGCCUGGGGAGUACGGCCGCAAGGCUAAAACUCAAAGGAAUUGACGGGGGCCCGCACAAGCAGCGGAGCAUGUGGCUUAAUUCGACGCAACGCGAAGAACCUUACCAAGGCUUGACAUAUACCGGAAAGCAUCAGAGAUGGUGCCCCCCUUGUGGUCGGUAUACAGGUGGUGCAUGGCGUCGUCAGCUCGUGUCGUGAGAUGUUGGGUUGGGGUGCGGGGCAACGAGCACAACCCUUGUUCUGUGUUGCCAGCAUGCCCUUCGGGGUGAUGGGGACUCACAGGAGACUGCCGGGGUCAACUCGGAGGAAGGUGGGGACGACGUCAAGUCAUCAUGCCCCUUAUGUCUUGGGCU